GCCUGGCUAGCUCAGUCGGUAGAGCAUGAGACUCUCUAAUCUCAGGGUCGGGGGUUCGAGCCCCCCGUUGGGCG
rnacentral:tRNA from 1 species